GGCUGUUCUGCUGUUAUACACCAUGUCCUAGUUAUUCCUACUGAGGGCUGUUCUGCUGUUAUACACCAUGUCCUAGUUAUUCCUACUGAGGGCUGUUCUGUCUGCUAUUAGACACCAUUCCUAGUUAUUCCUACUGGGCCUGUCUGCUGUUAUACACCAUGUCCUAGUUAUUCCUACUGAGGCUGUUCUGUCUGCUAAUACACCAUGUCCCUAGUUAUUCCUACGGAGGGCUGUUCUCUGCUACUAUACACUAUGUCCUAGUUAUUCCUACUGAGGGCUGUUUCUGCUGUUUAUACAUCAUGUCCUAGUUAUUCCUUCUGAGGGCUAUUCUGUCUGCUGUUAUACCCAUGUCCUAGUAUUCCUACUGAGGGCUGUUCGGCUAUUAUACACCAUGUCCUAGUUAUUCCUACGGAGGCUGUUCUGCUUAUACACCAUGUCCUAGUUAUUCCUAUGAGGGCUGUUCUGUCUGCUAUUAUACACCAUGUCCUAGUUAUUCCUACUGAGGGCUGUUCUGUCUGCUGUUAUACACCAUGUCCUAGUUAUUCCUACUGGGGCUGUUGCUGCUGUUAUACACCAUGUCCUAAGUUGUUCCUACUGAGGGCUGUUUUCUCUGCACUAUAACCAUGUCAUAGUUAUCUUCGGGGCUGUUUUCUCUGCUACAUACACAUGUCAUGUUAUUCCUUCUGAGGCUGUUCUGUCUGCUACUGUUUGACCAGAGCCCUAUUCCCUAUAUGGAACACUACUGUUGACCAGACCCCUAUUCCCUAUAUAGAACACUACUGUUGACCAGAGCCCUAUUCCCUAUAUAGAACACUACUGUUGACCAGACCCCUAUUCCCUAUAUAGAACACUACUGUUGACCAGAGCCCUAUUCCCUAUACUAGAACACUACUGUUGACCAGACC
rnacentral:lncRNA from 1 species